CACGUGCUCCGGGGUCGGUGAAAAUCCGAGCCGGCGGUGACAGUCCGCGAAGCCCCCUCCCUCGGGAGGAGGCCUGAUCCGGUGGAAUUCCGGGACCGACGGUGAAAGUCCGGAUGGGAGGCGCACGGG
rnacentral:ncRNA from 1 species